UCUCUGGUGGCUCAGCUGGUAAAGAAUCUGCCUGCAACGCAGGAGACCUGGGUUCGAUCCCUGGGCUGGGAA
rnacentral:tRNA from 1 species